GUUUUUCUAGGUAAGUGUUGAAAUUUAACAGUUGUGAAAAACAUAAAAGGAAACAAGCAAUGUGAGAUUCUUUACUAAACCUCUCUGUAUCUCAUGAUAUAUCUGCAGUGAUACUCUAGCUCAAAAUGGGUGAGAUGGUUGUUGGCAUACCUGCACAUCUGAGUGAUCCAAAAGGUUCUUGCCAUGACGCUUGCAAAGGUGCUGAACGUGAUGAUCAAACAACAAUAGCAAGGACUUCCCUGCUGAGUAGAAUGGUAGUAGCAUCAGAAAAAAUACCAGAACCGGCUACAACUGUACAGGUGCAGAUACGGAAGAAACCACUACGCUCGAGUAAGCUGCCUGUGAAUUUCAAGAGGCGUACAACUGGUAAAUCACAGAGACAGGAGAUCCCGGCAUACACCAAGAGAUUAGCUGUUUCAG
rnacentral:misc_RNA from 1 species